GACGAACGCUGGCGGCGUGCUUAACACAUGCAAGUCGAACGGGAUAAUUUGAGAGCUUGCUCUUAGAGAAUCUAGUGGCAAACGGGUGAGUAACACGUAGACAACCUGCCGACAGGAUGGGGACAACAUUCCGAAAGGAAUGCUAAUACCGAAUGAAGCGGGGGAGAGGCAUCUCUCCUCCGUGAAAGAUGGCCUCUGAAUAUGCUAUCACCUGUCGAUGGGUCUGCGUCUGAUUAGCUAGUUGGUGAGGUAACGGCUCACCAAGGCGACGAUCAGUAGCCGGUCUGAGAGGAUGAACGGCCACAUUGGGACUGAGACACGGCCCAGACUCCUACGGGAGGCAGCAGUGGGGAAUCUUCCGCAAUGGGCGCAAGCCUGACGGAGCAACGCCGCGUGAGUGAAGAAGGUCUUCGGAUCGUAAAGCUCUGUUGACGGGGACGAACGUGCGAAGGGUGAAUAAUCCUUUGUAAUGACGGUACCUGUCGAGGAAGCCACGGCUAACUACGUG
rnacentral:rRNA from 1 species